AACGAACGCUGGCGGCAUGCCUAACACAUGCAAGUCGAACGAGAUCUUCGGGUCUAGUGGCGCACGGGUGCGUAACGCGUGGGAAUCUGCCCUUUGGUUCGGAAUAACAGUUGGAAACGACUGCUAAUACCGGAUGAUGACGAAAGUCCAAAGAUUUAUCGCCAGAGGAUGAGCCCGUCGUAGGAUUAGCUAGUUGGUGUGGUAAAGGCGCACCAAGGCGACGAUCCUUAGCUGGUCUGAGAGGAUGAUCAGCCACACUGGAACUGAGACACGGCCCAGUAUCCUACGGGAGGCAGCAGUGGGAAAUAGGGGACAAGGGGCGAAGGCCUGACCCAGAAUGGCCGCGUGGGUGAUGAAGGCUUGGGGGUUGUAAAGCUUUUUUACCGGGGAUGAAAAUGACAGUACCGGAAGAAUAAGCUCCGGCUAACUCCGUGCCAGCCGCCGCCGUAA
rnacentral:rRNA from 1 species